GAUGAACGCUGGCGGCAUGCCUAACACAUGCAAGUCGAGCGAACGCACGAGAUGUUUUCUUCUCUGGUGUCAGCGGGGGACGGGAGAGUAACACGUGGAUAAACUAACUCUCAGAAUGGGAUACCAUCGGGAGAUCGUAGCUAAUACCGGAUAAUAUUUUGCACCUGAUUGUUCAAGAGUGAAAGUCGGUCUUGCUGACACUUAUAGAUGAAUACGCCCUGCAUGAGCUAGUUGGUAAGGUAAAGGCUUACCAAGGCAACGAGGCAUAGCCGACCUGAGAGGGUGAUCGGCCACACGGGAACUGAGACACGGUCCAGACUCCUACGGUGGGCAGCAGUAGGGAAUCUUCCGCAAUGGGCGAAUGCCUGAUAGAGCAACGUCGCGUGAAGGAUGAAGGACUUCGGAUGGUAAAGCGCUGUUGUUCGGAAAGAAGAAAUGUGUAAUUAACUGGGAAGAUCAUGACGGUACCGAAACAAAAAGCCACGGCUAACUACGUG
rnacentral:rRNA from 1 species